CACACUGCACCCUCCCCUGUAAAGUGGGGCCCUGUCUGCCAUAUAUCCCGGACCAGGAAGCACAAGUCCAUUCAAGGACAAAGAGGAACCAGGCCGGCCAUCUCGGCAAUGAAGCUUUGUAACCAGGGCUGCCUGAGCCCAUCCACGGCCAGAAGAAAGUUCUAAAGCCCUUGCUGCUCAAGUGUGGUUUAUAAACUGGCAGCGUCAGCUGGGAGCAUGCAGGAAAUGCAGAAUCUCAGGUUCCCCAGGCCCUCUCCCCCCGACUUGGAACCUGCAUUGGAGUAAGAUGCUCCGGUGUAAAGUCUGAGAAGCUCGUUCCUGCACAGAAUACAGAAUGCGAGCAUCUCAGAGCUGGGAGCCUCAGGCAUGGGGAGAACUGCCCUCGCAGGGAUAGUCCUCCCUGAGAAAAGCCCAAUGCUGUCUUGGUCGCCAUUCCCAGGACGCCUUCCAUUUUGCUGACCUUCAUCUUUCUCUGGGGGUAAGAGCAUGGCUAGACCGUGUCUUCUUGAUUCAAGUGUUUACUGAUGGACUUUCGUGAGCUUCCGCGUCCAGCCUCAGAAAUGAUGCCACCGUGGACUCUGAAGAGCAUAGUUGUUUUCAUUGAUGGGUUAAUGUUCUUUGGCCCGAAGCCCAUGAUGGGGCUCGCUAGGGCUUCCGGUGUUUCCAUUAAAGACAAAUCCAGAUCGCUUUCCGUAGUGGCUGGGGAAGUUUAACCUCGCUGGGUCUUGUGUCUUCAUUUGUAAAAUGGAGC